AUUGAACGCUGGCGGCAGGCUUAACACAUGCAAGUCGAGCGGGGUGAUGGUGCUUGCACUAUCACUUAGCGGCGGACGGGUGAGUAAUGCUUAGGAAUCUGCCUAUUAGUGGGGGACAACAUCUCGAAAGGGAUGCUAAUACCGCAUACGUCCUACGGGAGAAAGCAGGGGAUCACUUGUGACCUUGCGCUAAUAGAUGAGCCUAAGUCGGAUUAGCUAGUUGGUGGGGUAAAGGCCUACCAAGGCGACGAUCUGUAGCGGGUCGGAGAGGAUGGUCAGCCAGACAGGGACUGAGACACGGCCCAGACUGCUACGGGAGGCAGGAGUGGGGAAUAUUGGGCAAUGGGGGGAACCCUGAUCCAGCCAUGCCGCGUGUGUGAAGAAGGCCUUAUGGUUGUAAAGCACUUUAAGCGAGGAGGAGGCUCUUUUGGUUAAUACCCAAGAUGAGUGGACGUUACUCGCAGAAUAAGCACCGGCUAACUCUGUGCCAGCCGCCGCUGUAA
rnacentral:rRNA from 1 species